rnacentral:rRNA from 1 species
AGAGUUUGAUCCUGGCUCAGAACGAACGCUGGCGGCAGGCCUAAUACAUGCAAGUCGAGCGCGCCCUUCGGGGUGAGCGGCGGACGGGUGAGUAACGCGUGGGAAUAUGCCCUUCUCUAAGGAAUAGCCUCGGGAAACUGAGAGUAAUACCUUAUACGCCCUACGGGGGAAAGAUUUAUCGGAGAAGGAUUAGCCCGCGUUAGAUUAGGUAGUUGGUGGGGUAAUGGCCUACCAAGCCUACGAUCUAUAGCUGGUUUGAGAGGAUGAUCAGCCACACUGGGACUGAGACACGGCCCAGACUCCUACGGGAGGCAGCAGUAGGGAAUUUUCCGCAAUGGGCGAAAGCCUGACGGAGCAAUACCGCGUGAGGGAUGACGGCCUGUGGGUUGUAAACCUCUUUUCUCAAGGAAGAAGUUCUGACGGUACUUGAGGAAUAAGCAUCGGCUAACUCCGUGCCAGCAGCCGCGGUAAUACGGGGGAUGCAAGCGUUAUCCGGAUUUAUUGGGCGUAAAGCGCCUGUAGGUUGUUUAAUAAGUCUGUUGUUAAAGACUAGGGCUUAACCCUAGAAAAGCAAUGGAAACUUGUAGACUAGAGUAUGGCAGGGGUAGAGGGAAUUUCUAGUGUAGCGGUGAAAUGCGUAGAUAUUAGAAAGAACACCGGUGGCGAAAGCGCUCUACUGGACCAUUACUGACACUCAGAGGCGAAAGCUAGGGUAGCAAAAGGGAUUAGAUACCCCUGUAGUCCUAGCCGUAAACGAUGGAUACUAGAUGUUGUGCAUCUGUCUCUUAUACACAUCUGACGCUGCCGACGAUCUACUC